rnacentral:RNase_P_RNA from 1 species
AAGAGGUCAAGCCUACAAGGAAUAUGAUUUCUGGGUUCUGAGGAAGGUCCGCCCACCACAUUAAAACCACUGAGGAAAUCUCAGGCCUCGCGAGGGGUAGCUCUGGUAUAGAGACGAGCGUAUUAAGUUACGAUGGAACGAGCAUCUUGGUUGGUGCAAGGCUAAGCCGCUAAGUGGAAUGUUAACACGAACUGUUUGUCGCUUGCGAAACAAAGUUCGACAGAAGGUGGCCUAUUUCUGACUUACUU